UCUCAGUUCGGAUUGUAGUCUGCAACCCGACUACAUGAAGCUGGAAUCGCUAGUAAUCGCGGAUCAGAAUGCCGCGGUGAAUACGUUCCCGGGUCUUGUACACACCGCCCGUCACACCAUGGGAGUCGGAGAUGCCCGAAGUCUGUGACCCAACCUACGGGAGGGAGCAGCCGAAGGCAGGUCGGAUGACUGGGGUGAAGUCGUAACAAGGUAUC
rnacentral:rRNA from 1 species